rnacentral:rRNA from 1 species
UACGAAGGGGGCUAGCGUUGUUCGGAAUUACUGGGCGUAAAGCGCACGUAGGCGGAUACUUACGUUAGGGGUGAAAUCCCAGAGCUCAACUCUGGAACUGCCUUUAAUACUGGGUAUCUCGAGUCCGAGAGAGGUGAGUGGAAUUCCGAGUGUAGAGGUGAAAUUCGUAGAUAUUCGGAGGAACACCAGUGGCGAAGGCGGCUCACUGGCUCGGUACUGACGCUGAGGUGCGAAAGCGUGGGGAGCAAACAGG